UCUCUUCCUACCCAUGAUGGGUUUCAAACCACACACGUAGACUUCCUCCCCAUCUAACUUGGUUUGGCUCUUUAUUUGUAGAUGAACAAGCAGAUCAAUUCCAUAUUGGGGAGAACUCUAUAGCCUGUGCUUGGCUGAAAAGGAAAACAAUCUCUGAACAUUGUGGGAGGGACAAGCAGAGGGGAGCAAGAGCAGACCCAAAGAGCACUGCCUUGAAACCUCGGAACCUAUACCAGCAGAAUGGACAUGAGGAAAAAAUCAGUAUGAAGGAAGAAAGCAAGGAUUUUCUGGAAUUAUAGAAAGAAGAACAGAAGAUCAAGUGAGGAGGAACUUGAUUUCCCUGCAGGAGGGACCCAGCUUAGAUCUGCAAUGGAAACCUGGAAGCAACCUGGGAAGACUUGAGGUUAAUCAUGGAGCACUGGAGAAAAUUUCCACAGGCAACAACGGAACACAAAAAGCCACCAUGGCCAGUGACAAGCUAACAGGCUACUGUAAUGGAGGAACAGAUGUGAG
ensembl:lncRNA